rnacentral:rRNA from 1 species
UACGUAGGGGGCGAGCGUUGUCCGGAUUUAUUGGGCGUAAAGAGCUCGUAGGCGGUUUGGUAAGUCGGGUGUGAAAUCUCCACGCUCAACGUGGAGGGGCCACUCGAUACUGCCAUGACUCGAGUCCGGUAGAGGAGUGUGGAAUUCCCGGUGUAGCGGUGAAAUGCGCAGAUAUCGGGAGGAACACCGAUGGCGAAGGCAGGUCUCUGGGCCACUACUGACGCUGAGAAGCGAAAGCAUGGGGAGCGAACAGG